rnacentral:rRNA from 1 species
UACAGAGGGGGCAAGCGUUGUUCGGAAUUACUGGGCGUAAAGGGCGCGUAGGCGGCCUUCUAAGUCAUGCGUGAAAUCCCCGGGCUCAACCCGGGAACUGCGUCUGAUACUGGAAGGCUUGAAUCCGGGAGAGGGAUGUGGAAUUCCAGGUGUAGCGGUGAAAUGCGUAGAUAUCAGGAGGAAUACCGAUGGCGAAGGCAGGUCUCUGGGCUGACACUGACGCUCAUGCACGAAAGCGUGGGGAGCAAACAGG